GGGUGUACGGACACAUUGGGACUGAGAUACGGCCCAGACUCCUUCGGGAGGCAGCAGUAGGGAAUCUUGCGCAAUGGACGUAAGUCUGACGCAGCAACGCCGCGUGAGUGAUGAAGGUCUUCGGAUUGUAAAGCUCUGUUGAGUGGGAAGAAAGGUUACGGUUCUAAUAAAACCGGAGCCUGACGGUACCGCUCGAGGAAGGACCGGCUAACUACGUGCCAGCAGCCGCGGUAAUACGUAGGGUCCAAGCGUUGUUCGGAAUCACUGGGCGUAAAGGGAGCGUAGGCGGAGCCGUAAGUUAGGAGUGUAAUACCCGGGCUUAACCCGGGCCUUGCUUUUAAUACUGCGGUUCUUGAGUUUGGAAGAGGGAGAUGGAAUUCCAGGUGUAGCGGUGGAAUGCGUAGAUAUCUGGAAGAACACCAGUAGCGAAGGCGGUCUCCUGGUCCUAUACUGACGCUGAGGCUCGAAAGUUAGGGGAGCAAACAGGAUUAGAUACCCUGGUAGUCCUAACUAUAAACUAUGGAUACUAGAUAUGGGGGGAGUCAAUCCUUCCAGUGUCGUCGCUAACGCAUUAAGUAUCCCGCCUGGGAAGUACGCCCGCAAGGGUGAAACUCAAAGGAAUUGACGGGGGCCCGCACAAGCGGUGGAGCAUGUGCUUUAAUUCGAUGCAACGCGAAGAACCUUACCUGGGUUUGACAUGGGAGUGAAAGUUUCCAGAGAUGGGAGCCUUUCCGCAAGGAACACUCCACACAGGUGCUGCAUGGUUGUCGUCAGCUCGUGUCGUGAGAUGUUUGGUUAAGUCCAGCAACGAGCGCAACCCUCGUCCUUAGUUGCCAUCAGGUAAUGCUGGGAACUCUAAGGAGACUGCCUGGUUUAACCAGGAGGAAGGUGGGGAUGACGUCAAAUCAUCAUGGCCCUUACGUCCAGGGCAAGACACGUGCUACAAUGUCCGGUACAAUGGGAUGCAAGACGGCGACGUCAAGCUAAUCCCACAAAACCGGUCUCAGUUCGGAUUGGAGUCUGCAAUUCGACUCCAUGAAGCUGGAAUCGCUAGUAAUCGUGGAUCAGCAUGCCACGGUGAAUACGUUCCCGGGCCUUGUACACACCGCCCGUCAAGCCAUGAAAGAUGGAAGUACCCAAAGUCGCUUCUCUAACCCGCAAGGGGUGAGUGUGCCUAAGGUAAAGCCAUUGAUUGGGGCUAAGUCGUAACAAGGUA
rnacentral:rRNA from 1 species